rnacentral:rRNA from 1 species
AUGGCGGAUCUCCUGCAGAAACUCUUGCCAGACACCCUACCAUGGGCAUGGCUGUUUCUCUUCCUCUUCGUUGUGUCUGUGCAGUACUGGUUUACUGGAAAGUUCGGUGCCAAAAGGCAGCGACUCCCGCCUUCGCCGCCGGCGCUGCCCAUCAUCGGGCACCUCCACCUCAUCGGUUCCAUCCCCCACGUCUCCCUCCGUGGCCUCGCAAAGAAGCAUGGCCCCGACGUGAUGCUCCUCCGCCUGGGCGCUGUGCCCAACCUCAUUGUAUCCUCCUCGCGUGCCGCGGAGGCGGUGCUGCGCACCCACGACCACGUCUUCGCUUCACGGCCCUACUCUGUCAUCUCCGACACCAUCAUCGUUAGGAAGGUGCAGUCUUUCCGCAGCGCCGCCGCCGAGGAGGUCAGCAUGGCGAUGGCCAAGAUCAACCAGGCAGUAGCUGCCGAUUCUGCGGCGGACAUGAGUGAGCUGCUCCACACAUUCGCGAAUGACAUGGCCUGCCGCAUUGUGUCGGGAAAGUUCUUCCUGAAAGAUGGUCAAAGCAAGUUGUUCCGGGAACUCAUCAAGGAUACCUCACAGCUGCUAGGUGGGUUCAAUUUGGAGGAGUACUUCCCGGCAGUGGGUAGGGUAGGGGUGCUCAAGAAGGCGGUUUGUGCCAAGGCCGAAAGAGUGAGGAACAGAUGGGCCGAUCUGUUGGACAAGGUGAUCGACGAUCGUGUGAGCAAGCGCAAUUCAACGUCUGAUCACAAGGAUGAUGAUUUUGUGGAUAUUAUGUUAUCUGUCCAACAGGAGUAUGAUCUCACAAGAGAGCACAUGAAAGCUCUCCUGACCCCACACCUGAUGGUGAAGCUACAAGAUGAGGUGAGGGGUAUUGUACCCCAAGGACAAGAAAUUAUCAGCGAAACCGACAUGAACAACAUGACGUACCUAAGAGCAGUCAUAAAAGAGUCGCUCCGGCUACAUCCUCUUGCUCCUCUCCUUGCUCCGCACCUUGCCAUGGCUGACUGCAUCAUCGAUGGAUACAUAGUUCCUGCUAGGACGCGUGUGGUCGUCAAUGCAUGGGCCAUUGGUAGGGAUCCGAGCUCCUGGGAAUAUGCAGAAGAGUUCAUUCCCGAAAGAUUUACAGAUGAAGGCAACAGUAUGCAUGUCAACUUCAAAGGGAAUGAUUUCCAGUUCUUGCCAUUCGGAGCAGGGCGGAGGAUGUGCCCUGGUAUGAACCUCGGAAUCGCGAAUGUGGAGCUUAUGUUGGCAAACCUUGUGUGCCAUUUUGAUUGGGAACUUCCGUUUGGGGUUGAAAGAAAAGAUAUUGAUAUGACAGAGGUGUUUGGGCUAACCGUCAGUCGGAAAGAGAAACUACUGUUGAUUCCAAAAUCACGCAUGUAG